rnacentral:lncRNA from 1 species
CCAAAGUGCGUGAGGUGAUCAGUACAAGGGAGACUAAGGAAAGGUUGAGGAUUUGGGGAAAAAAACAGUUUAUUGAAAAGCCACACCCAGAAAAAGUUGCAACAGGUCAUGAGUUUAUCGAAACAUUCUGAACGGGAGGAAGAAACGAACUUUGUUAAAACUACCUCUAAGUGAAAUCGAGGAAAGUGUGGCAAUACAGCAAAAAUUCAAUGAAGAAAAUGAUGCUAAUUAAAGUAAAAAAAAUAGCAAUUAAGUUUAGCAAUAAAGUUACGCAUUAUAAGUAAUGUGUAAGGUCAAUUUUGCAUUUCAAUGUAGCCUGUCUAGAGGAAAGGUUAUGUUAAGCGGUAGCUCAGGAAAUGAAAACCUUCCAGCCUCUUUGACCUUGAAGGUAAAUAACAUUUCAUAAGCAAGUUUCUUUCUUUACAUUCUUUCUUCUUAUCUAUAAAUAUAUUUGUUAUUUAUAAAGUGCAUUUUCAUAUUUAAAAGCAUAUAAAACAAAAAAUUAAUGUGGUUUUGGGGGGCUAGAAUAAAUUAAUUGCAUUUCUAUUAAUUUAAAUGGGGAAAUUUGAUUUUACAGAUGGGGAAAUUGAGUUACAAGCUUGGCCAUGGAAUGAAUGAAUUAAACUCGUAUGUCAAGGUACCACUGUAUCACUAUCUGCAUUUUACUGAUGAAGAAACUGAGACUAAAACUCAUCAAAGUCCAGUGGCAGGACAAAGGUCAGGAGGACUGGACAUGGCCUAGAAUGCAAUGGAUGACCUUGGCUUCUUUGAUGUCUGACCAAACUCUUAAGUGCUCCACAGCAUCUGUUUCAAUUGCUUUUAAUGGCUGUUUGGAACAAAUUAUUCUGCCUCUUCUGCCAGAGGAAGUCUUAAUGUGUUUGGAGUAG